rnacentral:rRNA from 1 species
CUAGGCUUGACAUCUGGGGAAUCUCAUGGAAACAUGGGAGUGCGGAGCAAUCCGAGCCCCAAGACAGGUGCUGCAUGGCUGUCGUCAGCUCGUGUCGUGAGAUGUUGGGUUAAGUCCCGCAACGAGCGCAACCCUUGUCUCUAGUUGCCAUCAUUUAGUUGGGCUACUCUAGAGAGACUGCCGGUGAUAAACCGGAGGAAGGUGGGGACGACGUCAAGUCCUCAUGGCCUUUAUGCCUAGGGCUACACACGUGCUACAAUGGAUCGUACAAAGGGUCGCGAACCCGCGAGGGGGAGCCAAUCCCAAAAACCGGUCCUCAGUUCGGAUUGGAGUCUGCAACUCGACUCCAUGAAGUUGGAAUCGCUAGUAAUCGUGGAUCAGCAUGCCACGGUGAAUACGUUCCC